AAGUUUAUCAGAUGUUCUCUUGAGGAUCUGAUAUCUGGGCCCUUCAUCUCCUGAGACAGAACUGGCCUCAACUUUUUAAAGUUCACUGGAAUGGCAACACAGCAUUGUCCACUGAAAUAAAUAUACACAGAGGCAAGCCAAUGUCUUACAUAAACAUUAAACUUAAAAACCUAGACUAGCAUGAUUGAUGACUGACCCAUAUAGAUCCUUUUUUUUUUUUUUUUUUUCUGGCAGGAGAAUAGGUCUCAAGUACAUUUAGGACUUCGAGUCUCAGGAGUAAAUGUUUUUUGAUAAUCUUAUUGAUGUGUUUCAGGAUUUAUAGACAGUUCCUGGACCCACAGGGGAAGCUGGUAAAUGCACAAAUUCUUGCAUCAAUAAAGAAGAUGUUUAUAUGCAGAGCACAAAUGCAGAAAGGACAAGGAGCUUUCAACCAUCAAAAGGACACAAAAGGACCAUAAAAGUAUAAAAGUGGUCCAUAUGGCUUGUGCUUCAACUCUUUUUGAAUAUAAAUUAAAAGUCAUACAGAUUUGGAACAACAUGAGGGUAAAUAAAUAAUAACAGGAUGUCACAAUAUUCCUUUUUGUACUGUGUAAUAUCUUACACCAGAGUGAAUAUAGAUACUGUUCAAGUUUCACAUUCGUUAUUCAAGAUUUGUAUAGA
ensembl:lncRNA